rnacentral:pre_miRNA from 1 species
GUAGUAUUCCCUCCGUCCCAAAAUUCUUGUCUUACAUUUGUUUAGAUACGAAUGUAUCUAACACUAAAAUGUAACUAGAUACAUCCAUAUUUAGACAAAUUUAAGACAAGAAUUUUGGGACAGAGGGAGUACAAA